AGCAGUAGGGAAUCUUCCACAAUGGGCGCAAGCCUGAUGGAGCAACACCGCGUGAGUGAAGAAGGGUUUCGGCUCGUAAAGCUCUGUUGUUAAAGAAGAACACGUAUGAGAGUAACUGUUCAUACGUUGACGGUAUUUAACCAGAAAGUCACGGCUAACUACGUGCCGG
rnacentral:rRNA from 1 species